rnacentral:rRNA from 1 species
ACGGAAGGCAGCAGUGGGGAAUAUUGGACAAUGGGGGCAACCCUGAUCCAGCGACGCCGCGUGAGUGAAGAAGUAUUUCGGUAUGUAAAGCUCUAUCAGCAGGGAAGAUGAUGACGGUACCUGACUAAGAAGCCCCGGCUAACUACGUGCCAGCAGCCGCGGUAAUACGUAGGGGGCAAGCGUUAUCCGGAUUUACUGGGUGUAAAGGGAGCGUAGGCGGUCAGACAAGUCAGAUGUGAAAGCCCGGGGCUCAACUCCGGGACUGCAUUUGAAACUGUAGGACUAGAGUACUGGAGAGGCAAGCGGAAUUCCUAGUGUAGCGGUGAAAUGCGUAGAUAUUAGGAAGAACACCGGUGGCGAAGGCGGCUUGCUGGACUGAGACUGACGCUGAGGCUCGAAAGCGUGGGGAGCAAACAGGAUUAGAUACCCUGGUA